GGCACGUAGCGGAGGACUAUCACUCAUGCGGAGGAGCAUAUCAAUAAGCGGAGGAACAUAUCAAUAAGCGGAGGAGCCAUCAAUAGGCGGAGGAACAUAGCCUUAACCUGAAACGGCUUACCCUGUAGCGGCUGCCGGUGGACUACCAAACUCUUGUUAUUUUAUUGUAAUCUGAGCGUCUUAUUUUAAUAAGUCAAAACUUUCAACAACGGAUCUCUUGGUUCUGGCAUCGAUGAAGAACGCAGCGAAAUGCGAUAAGUAAUGUGAAUUGCAGAAUUCAGUGAAUCAUCGAAUCUUUGAACGCACAUUGCGCCCAUUAGUAUUCUAGUGGGCAUGCCUGUUCGAGCGUCAUUUCAACCCUUAAGCCUAGCUUAGUGUUGGGAGCCUACUGCUUUUGCUAGCUGUAGCUCCUGAAAUACAACGGCGGAUCUGCGAUAUCCUCUGAGCGUAGUAAUUUUUAUCUCGCUUUUGACUGGAGUUGCAGCGUCUUUAGCCGCUAAAUCCCCCAAUUUUUAAUGGUUGACCUCGGAUCAGGUAGGAAUACCCGCUGAACUUAAGCAUAUCAAUAAGCGGAGGAAA
rnacentral:rRNA from 1 species